AAUGUUUUUAUUUAUAUAUUUUUUUAAUAUUUAAAGAUACUAUCUUAGUUUUUUUUUUUUUUUUUUACUUUGUAUUUGUAUUUUUUUUUCUAGUAAAUGGUAUUUGAUUUGAAGUCUAUGUGUGUUUAAAUAUGUUUUAUUGUUGCUAGAUAUCAAGUUUGUACUGAUUAGUGUACAAAUUAUAAUUUCAGUACUUACAAAAUAUUAUUCAAAUCAAA